UCGCUACUACCGAUUGAAUGGUUUAGUGAGAUCCUCGGAUUGGUCCGGAAGUGACCGCAAGGUUGCCUCUAGGUUCUGAGAAGACGAUCAAACUUGAUCAUUUAGAGGAAGUAA
rnacentral:rRNA from 1 species